GACGAACGCUGGCGGCGUGCUUAACACAUGCAAGUCCAACGAUGAAGUUCCUUCGGGAAUGGAUUAGUGGCGAACGGGUGAGGAACACGUGAGAAACCUGCCCUUCAUUUUGGGAUAACUCCGGGAAACCGGGGCUAAAACCGAAUACUCCGUCUCGGCGGCAUCGCUGAGCCGGGAAAAAAUUUUGAUGAAAGAUGGUCUCGCGGCCUAUCAGCUAGUUGGUGAGGUAAUGGCUCACCAAGGCAACGACGGGUAGCCGGCCUGAGAGGGCGACCGGCCACAAUGGGACUGAGACACGGCCCAGACUCCUACGGGAGGCAGCAGUGGGGAAUAUUGGGCAAUGGGCGCAAGCCUGACCCAGCGACGCCGCGUGAGGGAUGAAGGCCUUCGGGUUGUAAACCUCUUUCAGUAGGGAAGAAGCGAAAGUGACGGUACCUAAAGAAGAAGCACCGGCUAACUAUGUGCCAGCCGCCGCCGUAA
rnacentral:rRNA from 1 species